rnacentral:rRNA from 1 species
AUGCAUUCAAAGAGUGCGUAACAGCUCACUGGUCGAGUGGACAUGCGCCGACAAUACACGGGGCUAAGCUGGACACCGAAGCGGCGGGAUUUUAAUUCAUUAGAAUCGGUAGGGGAGCUUCCCAUGGGCGGAGAAGCCGGAGGGCGACCGACGGUGGAGCGCAUGGGAGUGAGAAUGCUGGCAUGAGUAGCGAGAGACGAGAGAGUAACUCGUCCGCCGUGAACCCGAGGUUUCCUGGGCAAGGCUAAUCCUCCCAGGGUCAGUCGGGGGCUAAGGCGAGGCCGGGAGGCGUAGCCGACGCGCAGCAGGCAGACAUUCCUGCACCGCGCACGCGGCGCUACGACCGACGGGGCGACGGAUGGGGGUGGCUCGGCGGGGUUCUGGACGUCCCCGUGAUGGAGCGCGGCCCGCGGACCAGGGAAAUCCGGUCCGCAGAAGGGCGAGGCUCCGGACGAAGCGAUUGAGCGAAGCGAGUGAGCCCGAGGUCCCUAGAAAAACCCCUAGGCAGGCGCGUGCGCGCCCGUACCGCAAACCGACACAGGUGGGUGGGUAGAACAUACCGAGGCGAUCGGGUCAACCAUGGUCAAGGAACUCGGCACAAUGGCCCCGUAACUUCGGGAGAAGGGGUGCCCGCGCGUACGUGAACCGGCUCGCCCGGGGAGCGGAGGCGGGCCGCAGUGGAGAGGCCCAAGCGACUGUUUACCAAAAACACAGGACUCUGCAGAAGCCGCAAGGCGACGUAUAGGGUCUGACGCCUGCCCGGUGCCGGAAGGUCACGCGGAGGAGUUAGCGCAUCGCGCGAAGCCCCGAAGCCAAGCCCCGGUAAACGGCGGCCGUAACUAUAACGGUCCUAAGGUAGCGAAAUUCCUUGUCGGGUAAGUUCCGACCUGCACGAAAGGCGCAACGACUUGGGCGCUGUCUCGACCAUGGACCCGGUGAAAUUGCACUGGUCGUGAAGAUGCGACUUACCCGCGGAAGGACGGAAAGACCCCGUGAACCUUCACUGCAGCUUGGCAUUGGCCGCUGGUCCCGCGUGUAGAGGAUAGGCAGGAGGCUAAGAUCCGGAGGCGCCAGCCCCCGGGGAGCCGCCCUUGGAAUACUGCCCUCGCGCGACCGGCGUCCUAACCCGAGGCCGUCAACCGGCUCGGGGACCGUGCCAGGCGGGCAGUUUGACUGGGGCGGUCGCCUCCUAAAGGGUAACGGAGGCGCGCGAAGGUCCGCUCGGGACGGUCGGCAACCGUCCUUUUGAAUGCAAGAGUACAAGCGGGCUUGACUGCGAGGCCCACAAGCCGAGCAGGUGCGAAAGCAGGCUCUAGUGAUCCGGCGGCCCCGAGUGGGUGGGCCGUCGCUCAACGGAUAAAAGGUACUCCGGGGAUAACAGGCUGAUCUUGCCCAAGAGUCCACAUCGACGGCAAGGUUUGGCACCUCGAUGUCGGCUCAUCGCAUCCUGGGGCUGGAGCAGGUCCCAAGGGUACGGCUGUUCGCCGUUUAAAGCGGUACGCGAGCUGGGUUCAGAACGUCGUGAGACAGUUCGGUCCCUAUCCUCCGUGGGCGCAGGAGAAUCGAUGGAGGCUGCCCCCAGUACGAGAGGACCGGGGUGGACGCACCUCCGGUGAACCGGUUGUCGACCAACGGCACGGCCGGGUAGCCGCGUGCGGCGCGGAUAACCGCUGAAGGCAUCUAAGCGGGAAGCCGUUCCAGGGAUUAGUUCUCCUUCCGGUAAGGGCCCAGGUAGACUACCUGGUCGAUAGACGGCAGGUGCAAGGGCGGCGACGUCCUCAGCCGAGCCGCACUAAUCGCCCGAGCUCUUCCGGA